GGUGCGAUGCACUUUGUAGAUCAAAGCGUAUAGAUUAAAAGUAAAAGUAACUGUCACUUUCAUUUUUUAUUGACGUUGACGUAUCGUGACAUGUUGUUGUUUGUUUGUCAGUUGGCUAAAUUAAAUUCAUUGUUUACGAAAUUUCAAUCUCAUUUAUUAGUCUAAAGUGGUAAUAGUAGUAAAGUUUGUAAAAUAUAAUCAGUCCCUAGCCGGAUUCUUCGUCCUGAUAAAUAAUCCGUUUGUUAGUUCUAAGGAUGGAAAGUGAAGGUGACGACGACUCGCGAAGUCAGUGGGAGGACUGGACUCCUAUGAAAUUCACUUAUUGUUUUGUUCCCACUUGCAAAAACACCACGACGAAGGGAAAAUCAAAAAGAUUUUUCAAGGUCCCCUUUACUAACAGAAAAGCAUGGUGUCAAGCAAUGGGCCGCUCUGAUGUACCAACGUCGAGUAUAUCUGUAUGUGAAGACCACCUCCAACUGGAAGAUGAUAUGGAGAACUACCUAAAGUGGAAAUAUGUCUCGUGCCGCCCAAAGUUAAAGACUAGAGUUCCAGCCAAGUUGCUUGCACUGAACUUUCCUCAAGCUAGUGCUUCUAAACAGCCAGAUAAUGAACACCGUUUUCUACAAAAUAAUAUUGAGCAUUCACACACUCAAGUAAAAUUAUUAACACAAAAUAAUAUUUCUGAAGGUGUGCAAGUAAGUGUUAAAAUGAUUGAUUGUGGAGUAAAUACUACUGGACGGAAGAGAAGUUACAAAGUGAUGCUACAGGAAGAUAUUUGCUCACUAGCCGAAUCAAUACCAUCUGUUAUGGGCAGUACAACCGAAGUAUCCGAAUAUGAAUGUACUGACACAGCAAACGAAGAUCAAUGCCAUAAUAUGUCGCAAGUGAACUUUCUGCCAAUAUUAGAAAACAAAACAUAUCAGUACUUAGGUGUACCCGAAAACUUUUUCUGGCUAUUAAACUUUAUAAGCAAUGACAGUAAAGUACCUAAACUUCAUUUAAUUAUAGUUUUAUACAAACUGCGGCAUGGUGAUCCAUUUUAUAAAAUCAGCGACCUUUUUAAUAUAUCACUGACCACACUUUGGAGAACUUUUCCAAAGACGUUGGAUAUGUUGGCGUCAAUAUUUUCAAAAUUUAUAUACUGGCAUCCAGCUUCAGAUAUAAACGGAACUUGCCAAUGUCUUUCAAAACAAAAAAAGAUUUUGCAAACACUCAAAGCAUAAUAGAUUGUUUCGAAAUUGAAAUCGAGAAGCCUAAUAAACCAAUAGAGCAAUCAUCAACUUGGUCACAGUACAAAAACUGCAAUACAAUUAAGUUUCUAAUUAGUGCCACUCCUGAUGGUUUCAUAAACUUUAUUUCAAAAGGAUAUGGUGGGCGCAUAUCAGACAUGAAAUUGGUAGAAAUAAGUGGUUUUUUAGAUGUGGUUAAACCAAAUUCUAUAGUAUUGGCUGAUAGAGGCUUUAAACACCUAGACUCAGUCCUGCAAAGGAAAUUUGUCAAGUUACUUCGUCCACCAUCAGUGUAUGCUAAUGUUAAACUGACAAAAUCUGAAGCGAUUGAAGCCAAAGUAAUUGCAAGCCUCCGAAUACAUAUAGAGAGGGUGAUACGUAGGGUGAGAAUGUUUAAAUUUUUAAAACCUCACUCUACAAUAAAUAAUAAACUGGUUA